AACCCCCAGUUCGACUGGGGGUUCAGGAAAGCUUAUAGCUAUAAGUAAAAAUCCCUUGACCUCUAUGAUAAAAUGAUAGCCGGUCUGCCAACCGCAUCAUCAAAUCAAGGAGGACAAG
rnacentral:sRNA from 1 species